rnacentral:rRNA from 1 species
GUUUUGAUCCUGGCUCAGGAUGAACGCUAGCGGCAGGCUUAAUACAUGCAAGUCGAGGGGCAGCGCAGUGUAGCAAUACAUGGGCGGCGACCGGCAAACGGGUGCGGAACACGUACACAACCUUCCUUUCAGCGGGAAUAGCCAGAGAAAUUUGGAUUAAUACCCCAUAGUAUAUUGGUCAGGCAUCUGACUAUUAUUUAAAGAUUUAUCACUGAAAGAUGGGUGUGCGGCUGAUUAGAUAGUUGGCGGGGUAACGGCCCACCAAGUCUGCGAUCAGUAACUGGUGUGAGAGCACGACCAGUCACACGGGCACUGAGACACGGGCCCGACUCCUACGGGAGGCAGCAGUAAGGAAUAUUGGUCAAUGGACGCAAGUCUGAACCAGCCAUGCCGCGUGGAGGAUGAAGGCCCUCUGGGUUGUAAACUUCUUUUAUCUGGGACGAAAAAGGGCCUUUCUAGGUCAACUGACGGUACCAGAGGAAUAAGCACCGGCUAACUCCGUG